rnacentral:lncRNA from 1 species
AAUUACGAUUUUAUAGUGGUUAGUCCACCAAUUUAGGAAGUAUUAUUAACUUUUACUAUAUUAAUUGAUAAAAAAUUAAAACGAAGGCCAUGUACCAUGAAAGAUAGUUUAAUAUACAUUAAUAUAAAUGUAGAUUGUGUUUAGAAAUUUUAAAACAACAUUAACGAUCAUAGGCUCCAGUACAUCGAACAUGUACCGAAAAACUCAAUAUUUUUGUAAGGGUUAACACAUAAAUUUUGAGAAAAAUUUAAAAAAUGACAAUACUAUUUUAAUGCAUAGGUGCAUCAUGCACUAACAUAUGAUGAAGUUCAAAGAGGUUUGGAAAUUUUGUUGUCUCUGUUUCU